GUCGAGCGGACAGAUGGGAGCUUGCUCCCUGAUGUUAGCGGCGGACGGGUGAGUAACACGUGGGUAACCUGCCUGUAAGACUGGGAUAACUCCGGGAAACCGGGGCUAAUACCGGAUGGUUGUUUGAACCGCAUGGUUCAAACAUAAAAGGUGGCUUCGGCUACCACUUACAGAUGGACCCGCGGCGCAUUAGCUAGUUGGUGAGGUAACGGCUCACCAAGGCAACGAUGCGUAGCCGACCUGAGAGGGUGAUCGGCCACACUGGGACUGAGACACGGCCCAGACUCCUACGGGAGGCAGCAGUAGGGAAUCUUCCGCAAUGGACGAAAGUCUGACGGAGCAACGCCGCGUGAGUGAUGAAGGUUUUCGGAUCGUAAAGCUCUGUUGUUA
rnacentral:rRNA from 1 species